rnacentral:rRNA from 1 species
GACGAACGCUGGCGGCGUGCUUAACACAUGCAAGUCGAGCGGUAAGGCCCUUUCGGGGGUACACGAGCGGCGAACGGGUGAGUAACACAUCGGAACGUGUCCUGUUGUGGGGGAUAACCAGUCGAAAGACUGGCUAAUACCGCAUGAGCUGGAGACAGGAAAGCGGGGGACCUGAAAGGGCCUCGUGCGAUUGGAGCGGCCGAUGUCCGAUUAGCUAGUUGGUGGGGUAAAGGCCCACCAAGGCGACGAUCGGUAGCUGGUCUGAGAGGAUGAUCAGCCACACUGGGACUGAGACACGGCCCAGACUCCUACGGGAGGCAGCAGUGGGGAAUUUGGACAAUGGGGGCAACCCUGAUCCAGCCAUGCCGCGUGAGUGAAGAA